GAACGGCAGCACGGGGGCAACCCUGGUGGCGAGUGGCGAACGGGUGAGUAAUACAUCGGAACGUGUCCUGUCGUGGGGGAUAACCAGUCGAAAGACUGGCUAAUACCGCAUGAGAUCGAAAGAUGAAAGCGGGGGACCGCAAGGCCUCGCGCGAUUGGAGCGGCCGAUGUCGGAUUAGCUAGUUGGCGGGGUAAUGGCCUACCAAGGCGACGAUCAGUAGCUGGUCUGAGAGGAUGAUCAGCCUCACUGGGACUGAGACACGGCCCAGACUCCUACGGGAGGCAGCAGUGGGGAAUUGUUCGCAAUGGGCGCAAGCCUGACGACGCAACGCCGCGUGGAGGAUGAAGAUCUUCGGGUAGUAAACUCCUUUCGAUCGAGACGAACGGCUUCCGGGCUAAUACACCNGGGAGAGUGACGGUACCGAGAGAAGAAGCCCCGGCUAACUCCGUG
rnacentral:rRNA from 1 species